rnacentral:rRNA from 1 species
GUGCCAGCAGCCGCGGUAAUACCGGCAGCCCAAGUGAUGGUCGAUCUUAUUGGGCCUAAAGCGUCCGUAGCUGGCUGCGCAAGUCCGUCGGGAAAUCCACUCGCCCAACGAGUGGGCGUCCGACGGAAACUGCACAGCUUGGGACCGGAAGGCUCGAAGGGUACGUUCGGGGUAGGAGUGAAAUCUCAUAAUCCCGCACGGACCGCCGAUGGCGAAAGCACGUCGCGAAGACGGAUCCGACAGUGAGGGACGAAAGCUAGGGUCUCGAACCGGAUUAGAUACCCUGGUAGUCC